rnacentral:rRNA from 1 species
UCCCUUAGAUGUUCUGGGCCGCACGCGCGCUACACUGAUGCAUUCAACGAGCCUAGCCUUGACCGAGAGGUCCGGGUAAUCUUUGAAACUGCAUCGUGAUGGGGCUAGAUUAUUGCAAUUAUUAAUCUUCAACGAGGAAUGCCUAGUAAGCGUGAUUCAUCAAAUCGCGUUGAUUACGUCCCUGCCCUUUGUACACACCGCCCGUCGCUCCUACCGAUUGAGUGUGUUGGUGAGGAGUUUGGAUUGGCCUCGGAAGGUGGUUCGCCACCGUCCGUAGCUGAGAAGUUCUCCAAACCGCCCCACUUAGAGGAAGGAGAAGUCGUAACA